UUAGAAAGUUUUCAACAACUAAAGAAGAAAAGCCAGAACUAGAAAAUCAUAGACACAAAAUAACAUUCAAUAAAUAAUUAAAGAGAUUGCAAAUGAUCAAAAAUAGAGAAAAAAACGACAAAAAAGCAGAACAAAAUACGGAAACAAAAAGAUAAGAAAAUUUAAAGACGUGAAAAGAUAGAUGGAAUCAUUGAAAGAUAUGAGAA
rnacentral:lncRNA from 1 species